rnacentral:tRNA from 1 species
GCCCCAGUGGCCUAAAGGAUAAGGCACUGGGCCUCCUAAGCCAGGGAUUGUGGGGUUCGAGUCCCGUCUGGGGUGA